GACGAACGCUGGCGGCGUGCUUAACACAUGCAAGUCGAACGGAAAGGCCCUGCUUUUGUGGGGUGCUCGAGUGGCGAACGGGUGAGUAACACGUGAGUAACCUGCCCUUGACUUUGGGAUAACUUCAGGAAACUGGGGCUAAUACCGGAUAGGAGCUCCUGCUGCAUGGGGGGGGUGGGAAGGUUCGGCGGUUGGGGAUGGACUCGCGGCUUAUCAGCUUGUUGGUGGGGUAGUGGCUUACCAAGGCUUUGACGGGUAGCCGGCCUGAGAGGGUGACCGGCCACAUUGGGACUGAGAUACGGCCCAGACUCCUACGGGAGGCAGCAGUGGGGAAUAUUGCACAAUGGGCGGAAGCCUGAUGCAGCAACGCCGCGUGCGGGAUGACGGCCUUCGGGUUGUAAACCGCUUUCGCCUGUGACGAAGCGUGAGUGACGGUAAUGGGUAAAGAAGCACCGGCUAACUACGUG
rnacentral:rRNA from 1 species